AGAGUUUGAUCCUGGCUCAGAACGAACGCUGGCGGCGUGCUUAACACAUGCAAGUCGAACGAGAAAGCUUUCUUCGGAAAGUGAGUAGAGUGGCGCACGGGUGAGUAACGCGUAGGUAAUCUAUCCUUACAUUUGGGAUAACAUCGGGAAACUGGUGCUAAUACCGAAUGGUCUUCAUUGCUUUGGGGCGAUGGAGUAAAGGUGGCCUCUUCAUGAAAGCUACCGUGUAGGGAUGAGCCUGCGUACCAUUAGCUAGUAGGUGGGGUAAUGGCCCACCUAGGCUACGAUGGUUAGCGGGUCUGAGAGGAUGAUCCGCCACACUGGAACUGAAACACGGACCAGACUCCUACGGGAGGCAGCAGUGAGGAAUAUUGCGCAAUGGGGGAAACCCUGACGCAGCGACGCCGCGUGAGUGAGGAAGGUUUUCGGAUCGUAAAGCUCUGUCAGAAGGGAAGAAGUGUUAUAUGGUUAAUACCCGUAUAAUUUGACGGUACCUUCAGAGGAAGCACCGGCUAACUCCGUGCCAGCAGCCGCGGUAAUACGGAGGGUGCAAGCGUUGUUCGGAAUUACUGGGCGUAAAGGGCGCGUAGGCGGCCUGAUAAGUCAGAUGUGAAAGUCCACGGCUCAACCGUGGAAGUGCAUUUGAAACUGUCAGGCUUGAGUAUCGGAGGGGAGUGUGGAAUUCCCGGUGUAGAGGUGAAAUUCGUAGAGAUCGGGAGGAACACCGGUGGCGAAGGCGACACUCUGGACGAAUACUGACGCUGAGGCGCGAAAGCGUGGGGAGCAAACAGGAUUAGAUACCCUGGUAGUCCACGCCGUAAACGAUGUGAACUAGGGAUAGGGGGUGUUGAUCCCUCCUGUCCCGCAGCUNACGCAUUAAGUUCACCGCCUGGGGAGUACGGUCGCAAGAUUAAACUCAAGGAAUUGACGGGGGCCGCACAGCGGUGGAU
rnacentral:rRNA from 1 species